rnacentral:rRNA from 1 species
CAGCCGCCACGGGAAUACGUAGGUGGCAAGCGUUGUCCGGAAUUAUUGGGCGUAAAGGGUGCGCAGGUGGUUUAACAAGUUAGUGGUGAAAGGCAUAGGCUCAACCAAUGUAAGCCAUUAAAACUGUUUAACUUGAGUGCAGGAGAGGAAAGUGGAAUUCCUAGUGUAGCGGUGAAAUGCGUAGAUAUUAGGAGGAAUACCAGUGGCGAAGGCGACUUUCUGGACCGCAACUGACACUGAGGCACGAAAGCGUGGGGAGCAAACAGGAUUAGAUACCCCCGUAGUCCCUGUCUCUUAUACA